GGGCCUGUAGCUCAGGGGUAGAGCGCUCGCUUUGCACGAAAAUGAAAUCAUGGUGGAAUGCUCAUGGAAUCAUGGAAUUGCGAGAGGCCUAGGGUUCAAAUCCCUACCGGUCCA